GUCCACUGCACCAUCUUGGCUGUUGAUUUUUCACCUGUACUUUUUUGAACAGGUGAAAAACCAACAGCCAAGAUGGUGUAGUGGAC